AUGCUACUUAGUUUCCUUGUUAUCUUGCUCAGAGUGACUUUCCAAUCAGUCCAAAGUACUUAAAAACAAGAAUUGUGGCAAAUCCAAUGUGUCACAAUUAAAACUCUUCCGUUAGAAAUGUCCGCCAUUUUUUUUUUCAGACAAAACGGACCAAGUUUACUGAAGCUUAGUGCCCAAAAAAGCUGAAAAAAUCCCGUUGUGAAGGACUUGUACCCUCUUAUAAAGAAGCUCAAAAUUCAGUCAUGCACCAAACGUAGUAUAGUCGAUGUAGGCUGAGGGGCGUGGUGUUUGCGAGUCAUUUUAAUUCUAGAAAUUGGAAAGCCACUUUGUUCGUUGGGCCCAUCUUGCCAAAACUUCAAAAGGUAUAUUUGAAACACCAACACAUUAUCGUCCAAGACCAACUGUUACAGUUAAGGUUUUCAAUUAAAUGAAGCGCUUCUUCAUUAAAUCAAGAAAUGUCAGUAGUAUUUACUACAUUCGCCUGGAAUUUAAUUAACAAGCGAUUCAUCACAUCUACGUUAACUGAGUAGUUUUGAAUGAUUGAACAUAGUCUAUUACAAAAAUUUCUCGUGGCAUACCAUCUUUUCAACUGCAAGCAUAGGAUGAGGGCGGAAACAGCCAAACCAACUGAAGCCCCAAAUAGAAGGGCUAUAAAAGCGAGAGAGAAUGAGAUUAGACUACAGUGUAGUUAGGACACAAUGAAGCUUAGCAAGAU